ACAGUUGGAAACGACUGCUAAUACCGCAUAAGCCCACGGUACCGCAUGGCACUGAGGGAAAAGGAUUUAUUCGCUUUAGGAUGGACUCGCGUCCAAUUAGCUAGUUGGUGAGGUAACGGCCCACCAAGGCGACGAUCAGUAGCCGGACUGAGAGGUUGAACGGCCACAUUGGGACUGAGACACGGCCCAGACUCCUACGGGAGGCAGCAGUGGGGGAUAUUGCACAAUGGGGGAAACCCUGAUGCAGCGACGCCGCGUGGAGGAAGAAGGUUUUCGGAUUGUAAACUCCUGUCGUUAGGGACGAUAAUGACGGUACCUAACAAGAAAGCACCGGCUAACUACGUGCCAGCAGCCGCGGUAAAACGUAGGGUGCAAGCGUUGUCCGGAAUUACUGGGUGUAAAGGGAGCGCAGGCGGGAAGACAAGUUGGAAGUGAAAACCAUGGGCUCAACCCAUGAAUUGCUUUCAAAACUGUUUUUCUUGAGUAGUGCAGAGGUAGAUGGAAUUCCCGGUGUAGCGGUGGAAUGCGUAGAUAUCGGGAGGAACACCAGUGGCGAAGG
rnacentral:rRNA from 1 species